UUGUUGUUGUUGCUCGAGCUUGAACCAAUUUGAGCAGCUUUCUGAAGAAGAGCAGUGGCUGACAUGUGAGUUGUUGAAUUGGGAUUUUGCAUUGAUGAGCUAAAGAGUGAAGGCACUGCUCCUGUGCUGAUUCUGUCCGCCGAGGUCAUCAGAUUGUUAGGGAAGAGACCUGUACUUCCUUCUCCUUCUCCUCCUCCGCCUCGAACAGCAUUUUCCCCAUCAAAAUUGUUAGAAAUCAUAAGAUUGCCAGAUGAAACAGCAGCAGCAUUAGGGUUGCUUGUAGCAGAAGCAACUCCAUUGCGUCCAGAGAGGAAGCUGAGAUUGAAGACAUUGGAGGAAGGACAGUUAUGGUUAUCAUGUGAGAACUGCAUCAGACUUUGUUGAAAAUUCAUUGGUGAUGGCUUGAUGUUAUUGCUUGCAGCCAAAAACCCUUGGUGAUGAUGGUCUUGUUGAUCAUGAAAGCUAGGGUUUUGCUCUUGCAUGAAGUAACCCGAAGCAUUUGCAGCAAUGAGAUCGGAGGAAGAGCGGACUUAGAAUUGACUCCACAAAUAAUUAAAUUAUUAUUUAUCUGAACUACAUAAGCCAUUAUAAAUAAUAUUAUAUAAUCUUCAUAAUCCAAGAGAAUUUAGAACUGCAAAACUAUGUAAAAUAUUAUUAUAUAAAAAAUUCUUCAUUAUGAAACAAUAAACUAUAAACUCUGAAUAUUGUUCAGGAGAAAUCCAUUUAUAUAAAACUAUAACGGCAAAAUAUUUUACAAAAAGAGAGCUGAGUUUAGAUAAAUGUAACUAUUUAUUAUUACUUUUCUGAUAAACUUAAAUACUGAGGGACUACUUCAAAUGGGAUUUUGAUGACGACAUGCAUACCUGAAAGAUAUAGCAUGGACGUACUCGAUGAAUUCAAAACCUUUAAAUUUUUUCCCUUGGCUAGAAACUUGCAUGAUGGAUUCCAUACGGUGGUGAACUUGUCGAACCACCACCACCAGGAUUCACAUUCAUGCUGUUUCUAUCGGCGGAAUCCGACGAAGAGCCAACUCUUUCUCUACCACCAUUCCCAUGUUGCUGCUGCUGUUGUUGUUGAAACCCUGCGCUUCCACUCAUGCUUCUUACGAUCUGUCCAACUCCAAGAAAGUCUCUAGUCAUGUUCUGUUUAUCAGCGCUUAGUCCUUUGUUCACUCCUCCGUACGUACCAAACUGAGAAUCUACUCCAUUAGCGCUGUUUCCAGUUGCGCCAGGGUUGGAGAAAGAGUUCAUCAAAUCGUGAAGAUUACUCUCGUUUUCUCCGUACAUUCCACUCCCAAAGCUUCUUAGAAUCGAUGAAGCAUUGUUACUAUUGUUGUUGUUGCUCGAGCUUGAACCAAUUUGAGCAGCUUUCUGAAGAAGAGCAGUGGCUGACAUGUGAGUUGUUGAAUUGGGAUUUUGCAUUGAUGAGCUAAAGAGUGAAGGCACUGCUCCUGUGCUGAUUCUGUCCGCCGAGGUCAUCAGAUUGUUAGGGAAGAGACCUGUACUUCCUUCUCCUUCUCCUCCUCCGCCUCGAACAGCAUUUUCCCCAUCAAAAUUGUUAGAAAUCAUAAGAUUGCCAGAUGAAACAGCAGCAGCAUUAGGGUUGCUUGUAGCAG
rnacentral:lncRNA from 1 species